rnacentral:misc_RNA from 1 species
AACCUUAUGGACCUGCGGGCGUAUACCUGCGGAAGGAUCAUUAAAAAGAGUGUGUACCCCUCUGUAAAAUGAGUGGGUUACCUCCCGUCCUUUGUUGACCUCUUAGGAGGUUAUUUUGAACUUUCUGCUUCGGUGGGGUUAAACCUACCGGAACACCCUCAAAUUCUUAUCAUUUAAAAAUUGUUCAGUCUGAUUUUUGUUAAUAAAAACAAAAAACUUUCAACAACGGAUCUCAGAUCG